rnacentral:rRNA from 1 species
GACGAACGCUGGCGGCGUGCUUAACACAUGCAAGUCGAACGGAAAGGCCCUGCUUUUGUGGGGUGCUCGAGUGGCGAACGGGUGAGUAACACGUGAGUAACCUGCCCUUGACUUUGGGAUAACUUCAGGAAACUGGGGCUAAUACCGGAUAGGAGCUCCUGCUGCAUGGUGGGGGUUGGAAAGUUUCGGCGGUUGGGGAUGGACUCGCGGCUUAUCAGCUUGUUGGUGGGGUAGUGGCUUACCAAGGCUUUGACGGGUAGCCGGCCUGAGAGGGUGACCGGCCACAUGGGGACUGAGAUACGGCCCAGACUCCUACGGGAGGCAGCAGGGGGGAAUAUUGCACAAUGGGCGGAAGCCUGAUGCAGCAACGCCGCGUGCGGGAUGACGGCCUUCGGGUUGUAAACCGCUUUCGCCUGUGACGAAGCGGGAGUGACGGUAAUGGGUAAAGAAGCACCGGCUAACUACGUG